rnacentral:rRNA from 1 species
AACGCUAGCUACAGGCUUAACACAUGCAAGUCGAGGGGAAACGACAUCGAAAGCUUGCUUUUGAUGGGCGUCGACCGGCGCACGGGUGAGUAACGCGUAUCCAACCUGCCCACCACUUGGGGAUAACCUUGCGAAAGUAAGACUAAUACCCAAUGAUAUCUCUAGAAGACAUCUGAAAGAGAUUAAAGAUUUAUCGGUGAUGGAUGGGGAUGCGUCUGAUUAGCUUGUUGGCGGGGUAACGGCCCACCAAGGCGACGAUCAGUAGGGGUUCUGAGAGGAAGGUCCCCCACAUUGGAACUGAGACACGGUCCAAACUCCUACGGGAGGCAGCAGUGAGGAAUAUUGGUCAAUGGGCGAGAGCCUGAACCAGCCAAGUAGCGUGCAGGAUGACGGCCCUAUGGGUUGUAAACUGCUUUUAUAAGGGAAUAAAGUGGGUCUCGUGAGACUUUUUGCAUGUACCUUAUGAAUAAGGACCGGCUAAUUCCGUGCCAGCAGCCGCGGUAAUACGGAAGGUCCGGGCGUUAUCCGGAUUUAUUGGGUUUAAAGGGAGCGUAGGCCGGAGAUUAAGCGUGUUGUGAAAUGUAGACGCUCAACGUCUGCACUGCAGCGCGAACUGGUUUCCUUGAGUACGCACAAAGUGGGCGGAAUUCGUGGUGUAGCGGUGAAAUGCUUAGAUAUCACGAAGAACUCCGAUUG